GAAAAUUAGCAAUUGAUGUCUAUAUAUAAUUGAUAUCAUUGAUAAUUUUGAUAUAAAUGAUAAUUUCUCAGAAAUUUAGGCCACCUCUCUCUGAGGAUGAUUUCUCCAGCCAUGGUAUAUAACCUUUUUAUAUCAUUCUUCUUACAGAGAGUCUGGAGCAAGGAGUCUAGAAGCGGUAGAUGAGGAAUGUAUGCUGAUGAGUGAGACUCCAAUAACACCAGGGUCCUUUAGCAGGCAUAUCUUGAAAGCACUGAUGAUGAACUGUGUGACAUAUAAGAAAAUAACCGCAGUUACCAUGCUCUGCCCUCUCAGACCGCCUACACGGAGAGGUUCUAAAAAAAGGUCUCAACAAAAUUUACUAUCUACCUAUUUGCUACCUAAUGACAUAAGAGGAAGCUGAAUGGGUCAACUGUGAGGCAGGAAGGUUUCAAUUCAGUGGAGGAAAGAAGAUCUUGGUGGAAUGAAUUACUGACUUUAACUACUGGAAUAAGCAGCUAAAUAAGGCUACAAAACUCCUCGGAGAAAGGAGGACAAAUUUACCUCACAGACGCCACCUGACUUAUUUAAAUUUUGAAUUCCAAGUGAGUGAGGCUGUCCACCACUGCUUGAACAAAUACUAACAUACUGGAUUCCUAUUCUUUUUGGGUGUGUAAUGCAAAGGCCACCCAGGUAAUCUGACUUCCUACCAAUCUUGGAUUAAUUGGCUUUAAGACGGUCACAAAGUACCAUAAUGGUAACUUCUGGAAAAUGGUCUUUUACUAGAGAUAUUUUCCUGCUGCUACUCCAGAAAUGACUCUGGGUAAGCUCCUGUUUUAUGUCAUGUAGUAGCUUGGAGCCAGUGUAUGGUAGAGUCCAUUGCAUCCCACUAGGUCUGAUAAUAUGUUUUCGGAUCUUCAACAACCCUUCCCUUAAACAGUUGUGAAGUGAAGAUGGGAAGGAAUCAGGGGUGGGGACUAUGUGAGCCUAAGUCCAAUGUUUGGGCUGCUUGAGUGUCCCAGUAUGCCAACAAAUGAUUACAGAGUGAUGGCACAGAGGACGUGCUUAAUGCUGAUCUUCUACAUAUGAAUCUUGAUACUGGAUUUUGCUGCCUUUCCCUAAGUUAUUUCUCUUUUGUUCUCACCAUUUCCCCCAAGCAAUUGGUAUUAGAAUAGUUGAAACAAUAGGAAUCUCAAGAAAUAGAGUAUUAUUUAUUCAUUUACUCCUUUAUUUCAUACAUUUUAAUGACCACCUAUUGGGCAAGGUAAUGUACAAGUUGUUGGGAAUCCAAAUAUCAAAGACAUAGUUAAUGCAUUCAAGUUGGUUACAAUUUAGUGGAGAGAGACAGAAAAAUAAACAUAAAAUUAUCACAAUAGUGAUAAAUGGGAAUAGAGCAUAGUAGUUAUCAGUCUCAGCUCUGGAGUCUGACACAACUGGACUGGGAGUCUAAAUUCUAUCACUUAGGGUUCUAUCACCUUGGACAGUCAUUUAACAUCUGUGGGGAUACCAAUAGUAACUGAGACACAAAGAUGUUAUACAGAUUAGAUAAAAUGAUGCAUUGAAGUAUGUGUCACAGUGCCUGGCAUAUAAUAGGUCAGCCAGCAUUAUUGUUGAUAUCGGUGUUUGUUUAUUAUAUAAUAGAGGCACACACAUGCUGAUACUGGACAAGAGAGAGGACAUCGGAGGUGGAGUGUCACAGAAGACUUUCUGAAUAAGUGACAGUCUGUGUCUUGAUACUUGAAAGAGGAAUAGGGAUUAGGAAAGGCAGAAGAAGUAGGGGAGGGAAGGCCAAGGGUUAGUGCAAUGGCUGGAAGCGUGUAAUGAACAUUUGGAGGGCUACAAGAAAUUCCAUGCAUUUGGAGAAAACUGUUAAAAUAUGAGUGUGGGAAAGUCUGACCAUGAAGGGCCUUGUGUGGUACUGGGGUACUGCAAAACCACCAAAGUUCCUUCUUUUCAUGUAUCUUGGCCGUGUGUAAAACACCAAUAUCCUUCUAGUGAAUUCAUGAAUUUUUUUUCUAGAUUUCAGCAUUUCAGCAAUAUGUUGCUUGUAGUAAAAAUAAAAACAAUUCAAAAUA